rnacentral:tRNA from 1 species
GCCGGGGUGGCAGAGUGGACAAUCGCACCGGGCUGUAAACUCGGCGCUGUAACGGCUUCGGGGGUUCGAAUCCCUCCCCCGGCACCA